UACAGAGGGGGCGAGCGUUGUUCGGAUUUACUGGGCGUAAAGGGCGCGUAGGCGGCGCGGUAAGUCACUUGUGAAAUCUCUGAGCUUAACUCAGAACGGCCAAGUGAUACUGCAGUGCUAGAGUGUGGAAGGGGCAAUCGGAAUUCUUGGUGUAGCGGUGAAAUGCGUAGAUAUCAAGAGGAACACCUGAGGUGAAGACGGGUUGCUGGGCCAACACUGACGCUGAGGCGCGAAAGCCAGGGGAGCAAACGGG
rnacentral:rRNA from 1 species